UGCUUCAUCAGUUUCAGUGACAAUGUGUUUUUGGUAGGUACAGAUUGGCAUUUUUUUUAAUGUUUGUUAAAUUAAUUAUUGUGUGUUUGUUUUUCCCCUCAGGUUUACCUACAGAGAGGCACACCUAGGAACCAAAGCAACAUCCAUGCACCCACACCUGGCAUACUAAGCACCUGAAGAGCCAACACAAAGCCGAUCAGGUCAUGCCCCCCACUUUACUCCGCUCUUCCCCCUCACUAUGGCUCCCUUGAAGUAUCCCUUAGAACAGGCAUGCAAUUGUUAACACAUUUAAUACCCAUUUGUUUACAUAUUUACUACAAACAUGUUCCUACCUAAACUGACAUGUAAAAGAAGGGAUCCUUGGAACUGGGGUACUCUUCUUUUUGCUGGACCACUGGUCAGGAACUACCAUGCUUACUGUUUCAGCAAUAGUGAGGUUAUGGCUGCAAUAUCAGUGGUACACUGCUCUACGGUGUCCUCGACAUCGCCCACACGGAGGAGUGUAAAUGGAGGAGACUAUGCUGCUGAGGCCUCACAGCUGCGAGCAGAUUUUUGUAAUCAACCCAUGGUAAGGAGGAGUGCAGUGAAGCAAGGGAUCCUGAGUAAUUGUUGGUUCAUGACCUCAGCAUACAGAGACCCUCCACCUGAAGACCUAACUUCCUGCAAUCACCCGACACUAAAUGUCUUACAUUGAAAUAAAAGAUAAAACAACUCUGUA